GCCAGUGUGGUGUGGUGGCUUGACCGUUGGACUAUGACUCUAGAGACCAGGGUUCGAGUCCCUUCUCAGCCA